rnacentral:rRNA from 1 species
GUGGGGAAUAUUGGGCAAUGGGGGAAACCCUGACCCAGCAACGCCGCGUGAAGGAAGAAGGUUUUCGGAUCGUAAACUUCUAUCCUUGGUGAAGAUAAUGACGGUAGCCAAGAAGGAAGCCCCGGCUAACUACGUGCCAGCAGCCGCGGUAAUACGUAGGGGGCAAGCGUUGUCCGGAAUGAUUGGGCGUAAAGGGCGCGUAGGCGGCCUGGUAAGUCUGGAGUGAAAGUCCUGCUUUUAAGGUGGGAAUUGCUUUGGAUACUGUCGGGCUUGAGUGCAGGAGAGGUAAGCGGAAUUCCCGGUGUAGCGGUGAAAUGCGUAGAGAUCGGGAGGAACACCAGUGGCGAAGGCGGCUCACUGGCUCGAUACUGACGCUGAGGUGCGAAAGCGUGGGGAGCAAACAGGAUUAGAAACCCGGGUAGUCC